ensembl:lncRNA
CCCUGGUGACCUUGAGUAAAUGAUGCUCUGGUUUAGUGCCUCAGUGUUCUAACCUGUAAAAUGGGUUGUGUGCAGAUUGUUAUGAGAACUCAGCAUAAGUAGUCUUUCAGUCAUUGCUAGUUCUUACCAUCUUCUGAGCGUUCCUCCCCCAGCCAUGAGGGGUGUGGAGCAUUUAUUCUUGUAUUGAGCUUGUAUGUUUUGUAUUGUACUGUGUGCCAGGGGUCUUAGCAGUCAUUUCAUUUCAUUUAUUUUUAAUUGGAGGAUAAUUGCAUUACAAGGCUGUGUUGAUUUCUCCUGCACGACAACCUGAAUCAGCUGUAAGUAUACAGAGACCAUCUCCACACCCAGGUGAGCUGGCAGGGCCCGUCUCCAUUCCAGGUGCUCUGUCUCCCAGUCGGGCUCCUGUCCUUGGCUGCACCCUUGGGAGACUUGUCAGCUGCUGUUUACUCUUCUCCUGGUCUCGGCAAGCUGGAGAUAAGAUGCCGAGGGGUCUGUUGACCCUGUCUGGAUAACACGCAUCCGUUACCUUGGUGUGUGGCCCUUCCUGGUUGACACCCAAGGAAUGCCAAGGGCAGGGUGGGGACACGGAGAGAGAGGGGCUUGGAUGGUUGAAGCUGAGGUGAUGGUUGUUAUGACCUGAUCCAGCAGGAUGGGCACCGGGGCUGACUCUUGCCAUUGCCUCUGCCCUCCUGGGGAGCCUACGAUGAGGGUCCCAAGAGCAGAUUUUCUGUGCUGGUCUAGGGCUGCAGAGCCGACCUAGAGCCGACCCCGAGCCGACCCCGGGCAUGGCAGGGGCAUGGAAAGAUGGAAGCGGCUCAUGGUGGGAGCGAUGGUUGCUGAGGGCCGACAGCUGCCCUAUAUCCCAGGAGUGGCUGAUGGGAGGCUCUGUGUCCAGAGAGGUGUGGGGGGGCUAGAAAAGCCAGCCCCUCUUGCAACCUCAAGAACUCACCAAGCUUGAUCCUGUCGCAGGGUUACUGUCUGUGUUCUUCCCCUUGCCUUCAGAUCUCAGCCAAGUCGGCAACUUCUCAUUCUGGACUCUGGCAUCACCUCCUCUGGGGGGCCCUCCUGACCCAUCUCCUGACACUCAGGGCCAGGACGAGGGCGAGGCGAGGGAGGCACUAACUUUUGGAGCAAAAUGUAAAGGGUGCCACAAAACUUAAAUUUUAAAAACAGGAAAAACCCCUCAGAAAUAAGAAAAAAGAUUGUAAUCAAACAACUUUAAAAUGAGAAAUACAUGUAAAACACAUUCCUGCUGAAUAAAAUAGUGAC